rnacentral:rRNA from 1 species
AUUGUACGCUGGCGGCAUGCCUUACACAUGCAAGUCGAACGGCAGCGGGGACUUCGGUCCGCCGGCGAGUGGCGAACGGGUGAGUAAUGUAUCGGAACGUACCAUUCAGUGGGGGAUAACUAUCCGAAAGGAUAGCUAAUACCGCAUAUUCUGUGAGCAGGAAAGCAGGGGAUCGCAAGACCUUGCGCUGAUUGAGCGGCCGAUAUCAGAUUAGCUAGUUGGUGAGGUAAAGGCUCACCAAGGCGACGAUCUAUAGCGGGUCUGAGAGGAUGAUCCGCCACACUGGAACUGAGACACGGUCCAGACUCCUACGGGAGGCAGCAGUGGGGAAUUUUGGACAAUGGGGGCAACCCUGAUCCAGCCAUGCCGCGUGAGUGAAGAAGGCCUUCGGGUUGUAAAGCUCUUUCGGCCGGGAAGAAAUCGUAUGGGCUAAUACCCUGUGCGGAUGACGGUACCGGCAUAAGAAGCACCGGCUAACUACGUGCCAGCCGCCGCGGUAAUAC